rnacentral:rRNA from 1 species
UUGAGGAAGUAAAAGUCGUAACAAGGUCUCCGUUGGUGAACCAGCGGAGGGAUCAUUACUGAGUUACCGCUCUACAACCCUUUGUGAACAUACCUAACUGUUGCUUCGGCGGGCAGAGGUCCCUCGCGGAUCUCUCCCGGCAACGCCCUCACGGGCGGAGCGCCCGCCGGAGGAUACCAAACUCUAUUUUAACGACGUUUCUUCUGAGUGGCACAAGCAAAUAAUUAAAACUUUUAACAACGGAUCUCUUGGUUCUGGCAUCGAUGAAGAACGCAGCGAAAUGCGAUAAGUAAUGUGAAUUGCAGAAUUCAGUGAAUCAUCGAAUCUUUGAACGCACAUUGCGCCCGCCAGCAUUCUGGCGGGCAUGCCUGUUCGAGCGUCAUUUCAACCCUCAAGCUCUGCUUGGUGUUGGGGCCCUACGGUUAACGUAGGCCCUUAAAGGUAGUGGCGGACCCUCUCGGAGCCUCCUUUGCGUAGUAACUAACGUCUCGCACUGGGAUUCGGAGGGAUUCUAGCCGUAAAACCCCCAAUUUUUUAAGGUUGACCUCGGAUCAGGUAGGAAUACCCGCUGAACUUAAGCAUAUCAU